rnacentral:rRNA from 1 species
CGUAUAUUAAAGUUGUUGCAGUUAAAAAGCUCGUAGUUGGAUUUGUGGUGACGCUUGAGGUCCAAUUUUGGUACUAUUGAGUGUGACCAUCCUUGGGUGGAAGCUGUGUGGCAUUAAGUUGUCGUGCAGGGGAUGCCCAUCGUUUACUGUGAAAAAAUCAGCGCGUUCAAAGCAGGCUUAUGCCGGUGAAUGUAUUAGCAUGGAAUAAUAAGAUAGGACCUUGGUACUAUUUUGUUGGUUUGCGCACCGAGGUAAUGAUUAAUAGGGACAGUUGGGGG